GCGCUCAUCACAGCGCAAGUGUGAGUCAGAGCAGCGAGUUUAAGAUGAAGAAGCACAGGGGUCGGCAUGAAUCUGAAUUGCGUUUCUGUAAACUGUAGCUGCAGCUCUUCAUUUUUAGAAAUAUGCUUUCUAUCGUAUACCUGACCGAAAUGAGAUUUUAUUUGUCUCUCUCGUCUCUGUGUGUCCGAUACAGCAUAUAAAUGUUAAAAUCCCUAAAUCUAAGUGUCUCUGACUGAACGAAAGAGCAUUUGUAUAAAAAAAACAACACACUGUGUGGUUUUAGCGGCAAUAAUUUCAGCCUUUUUGGCAAAGACCAUUGCCGUGUCUCACUUUGUGUUCUUCCAUUCUCACACCUGCUGGUUCGAGAGCACAAAUACGUUCACACUGAAAAAGUACGAUUGAGCUUAAAACGGUGGACACUUCUCACCCUCAACAGUCGCCAUCUUGGCUACGUGGCCGAAAAAUGGAGGGACAACCAACGUGUUUUCAAACUGAGGAAGGAGAAUACGUUGUUGAGCACCGAUGGCGGCCGAAAUUCCACGUCACACAGGAGGGUAAAACGUUCACUUUCAAGUCGAGUGAUCAAAGCAGGCAACAAUCACGGUCACAUGUUGCGACAAUGGUGUUUGAUGGUACAACACUAACCUUGUCGGACUUCCGGCACCACACCGAAUGCAUUUCCACAGCACCCGGGGAACAGGCACGGACUUGUUACGUCCACCUGUUGGCUGCACUUCAGUGAAACUUCCAGCAUCUGAAAUGUGCACGAUGAGGGUCCUAGAUAAGACAAGAACGUUCAGCAGUUCAGGUUCAAGCAUGAAAUCUGGCGGGCGUUAACGCACCCCCGAAUCUAAAUCUUAAAAAACACGCCUCAGGAAGUGAGUGUCGGCAGCUCUUGGUCAUAAAACUGCUUUUGGUCACUCUCCCAGAGUGCACUGGGAGGGGAGAGGACAGAGAAUCUCUGUGUCAUCUCUCCAUGGCACGGGAUGUGAGGAGAUCGCCGGGAAUGUCAAUAAUCGCUCGAACCGAGGACGAGCUGCUGCCUGCUCUCAGUGCAACGCGGCCACCUGAAUAUCAAUUCAAGGCCAAUUAAAACACAAAACAUGGCUUUUACUUUUCAAAAUAAAGCAGUGACACCUUAAAAGACGAUGCCUUUUUAUCUCUUUAAUAUGAGAGUGGACUAAUAGCUAACAUGAGGAUAAAACCCACAUGUGAUCUAUGGAGUAUUAACCUUUAUUUAUGAUUAAAUUCAAAUGUGGAAAUUCUAAUUUUAAACAUAU